GGGUUGUGAGGUUAAGCGACUAAGCGUACACGGUGGAUGCCCUGGCAGUCAGAGGCGAUGAAGGGCGUGCUAAUCUGCGAUAAGCGCCGGUAAGGUGAUAUGAACCGUUAUAACCGGCGAUACCCGAAUGGGGAAACCCAGUGUGAUUCGUCACACUAUCAUUAACUGAAUCCAUAGGUUAAUGAGGCGAACCGGGGGAACUGAAACAUCUAAGUACCCCGAGGAAAAGAAAUCAACCGAGAUUCCCCCAGUAGCGGCGAGCGAACGGGGAGGAGCCCAGAGCCUGAAUCAGCAUGUGUGUUAGUGGAAGCGUCUGGAAAGGCGCGCGAUACAGGGUGACAGCCCCGUACACAAAAGCGCAUGUGCUGUGAGCUCGAUGAGUAGGGCGGGACACGUGGUAUCCUGUCUGAAUAUGGGGGGACCAUCCUCCAAGGCUAAAUACUCCUGACUGACCGAUAGUGAACCAGUACCGUGAGGGAAAGGCGAAAAGAACCCCGGCGAGGGGAGUGAAAAAGAACCUGAAACCGUGUACGUACAAGCAGUGGGAGCNNNNNNNNNNNNNNNNNNNNNNNNNNNNNNNNNNNNNNNNNNNNNNNNNNNNNNNGGGCGUUAAGUUGCAGGGUAUAGACCCGAAACCCGGUGAUCUAGCCAUGGGCAGGUUGAAGGUUGGGUAACACUAACUGGAGGACCGAACCGACUAAUGUUGAAAAAUUAGCGGAUGACCUGUGGCUGGGGGUGAAAGGCCAAUCAAACCGGGAGAUAGCUGGUUCUCCCCGAAAGCUAUUUAGGUAGCGCCUCGUGAAUUCAUCUCCGGGGGUAGAGCACUGUUUCGGCUAGGGGGCCAUCCCGGCUUACCAACCCGAUGCAAACUGCGAAUACCGGAGAAUGUUAUCACGGGAGACACACGGCGGGUGCUAACGUCCGUCGUGAAGAGGGAAACAACCCAGACCGCCAGCUAAGGUCCCAAAGUCAUGGUUAAGUGGGAAACGAUGUGGGAAGGCCCAGACAGCCAGGAUGUUGGCUUAGAAGCAGCCAUCAUUUAAAGAAAGCGUAAUAGCUCACUGGUCGAGUCGGCCUGCGCGGAAGAUGUAACGGGGCUAAACCAUGCACCGAAGCUGCGGCAGCGACACUGUGUGUUGUUGGGUAGGGGAGCGUUCUGUAAGCCUGCGAAGGUGGCCUGUGAGGGUUGCUGGAGGUAUCAGAAGUGCGAAUGCUGACAUAAGUAACGAUAAAGCGGGUGAAAAGCCCGCUCGCCGGAAGACCAAGGGUUCCUGUCCAACGUUAAUCGGGGCAGGGUGAGUCGACCCCUAAGGCGAGGCCGAAAGGCGUAGUCGAUGGGAAACGGGUUAAUAUUCCCGUACUUGGUGUUACUGCGAAGGGGGGACGGAGAAGGCUAUGUUGGCCGGGCGACGGUUGUCCCGGUUUAAGCGUGUAGGUGUGUGUUCCAGGUAAAUCCGGUUCACUUUAACACUGAGGCGUGACGACGAGGCACUACGGUGCUGAAGCAACAAAUGCCCUGCUUCCAGGAAAAGCCUCUAAGCAUCAGGUAACAUCAAAUCGUACCCCAAACCGACACAGGUGGUCAGGUAGAGAAUACCAAGGCGCUUGAGAGAACUCGGGUGAAGGAACUAGGCAAAAUGGUGCCGUAACUUCGGGAGAAGGCACGCUGACACGUAGGUGAAGUGAUUUACUCAUGGAGCUGAAGUCAGUCGAAGAUACCAGCUGGCUGCAACUGUUUAUUAAAAACACAGCACUGUGCAAACACGAAAGUGGACGUAUACGGUGUGACGCCUGCCCGGUGCCGGAAGGUUAAUUGAUGGGGUCAGCGCAAGCGAAGCUCCUGAUCGAAGCCCCGGUAAACGGCGGCCGUAACUAUAACGGUCCUAAGGUAGCGAAAUUCCUUGUCGGGUAAGUUCCGACCUGCACGAAUGGCGUAAUGAUGGCCAGGCUGUCUCCACCCGAGACUCAGUGAAAUUGAACUCGCUGUGAAGAUGCAGUGUACCCGCGGCAAGACGGAAAGACCCCGUGAACCUUUACUAUAGCUUGACACUGAACAUUGAGCCUUGAUGUGUAGGAUAGGUGGGAGGCUUUGAAGUGUGGACGCCAGUCUGCAUGGAGCCGACCUUGAAAUACCACCCUUUAAUGUUUGAUGUUCUAACGUGGACCCGUUACCCGGGUUGCGGACAGUGUCUGGUGGGUAGUUUGACUGGGGCGGUCUCCUCCUAAAGAGUAACGGAGGAGCACGAAGGUUGGCUAAUCCUGGUCGGACAUCAGGAGGUUAGUGCAAUGGCAUAAGCCAGCUUGACUGCGAGCGUGACGGCGCGAGCAGGUGCGAAAGCAGGUCAUAGUGAUCCGGUGGUUCUGAAUGGAAGGGCCAUCGCUCAACGGAUAAAAGGUACUCCGGGGAUAACAGGCUGAUACCGCCCAAGAGUUCAUAUCGACGGCGGUGUUUGGCACCUCGAUGUCGGCUCAUCACAUCCUGGGGCUGAAGUAGGUCCCAAGGGUAUGGCUGUUCGCCAUUUAAAGUGGUACGCGAGCUGGGUUUAGAACGUCGUGAGACAGUUCGGUCCCUAUCUGCCGUGGGCGCUGGAGAACUGAGGGGGGCUGCUCCUAGUACGAGAGGACCGGAGUGGACGCAUCACUGGUGUUCGGGUUGUCAUGCCAAUGGCACUGCCCGGUAGCUAAAUGCGGAAGAGAUAAGUGCUGAAAGCAUCUAAGCACGAAACUUGCCCCGAGAUGAGUUCUCCCUGAGACUUAGAGUCUCCUGAAGGAACGUUGAAGACGACGACGUUGAUAGGCCGGGUGUGUAAGCGCAGCGAUGCGUUGAGCUAACCGGUACUAAUGAACCGUGAGGCUUAACCUUACAACGCCGAAG
rnacentral:rRNA from 1 species